rnacentral:lncRNA from 1 species
AGUAUACCCUACAUCAUCUCCACCAUCAUUAGCACCAGACCCCUCAGUAGUGGCUCCAUCAUCAUUAUUGCUCCUCGGUGAAGGUAGAUGUUCUGUAGGCUUAAGCACCUUGAAAAUGCCCUUUAACCCUCUCUACAUCUUGGGGAAGAAUUUUUCUCUCUUUUUUUUCCUUUGCAAUAACCUUUUAUAUGACUCCCAGAGGUUCUUGUGUAAU